CACAUGCAAGUCGAGCGGUAACAGAUCCAGCUUGCUGGAUGCUGACGAGCGGCGGACGGGUGAGUAAUGCAUAGGAAUCUGCCCGAUAGUGGGGGAUAACCUGGGGAAACCCAGGCUAAUACCGCAUACGUCCUACGGGAGAAAGGGGGCUCCGGCUCCCGCUAUGGGAUGAGCCUAUGUCGGAUUAGCUAGUUGGUGAGGUAACGGCUCACCAAGGCCACGAUCCGUAGCUGGUCUGAGAGGAUGAUCAGCCACAUCGGGACUGAGACACGGCCCGAACUCCUACGGGAGGCAGCAGUGGGGAAUAUUGGACAAUGGGGGAAACCCUGAUCCAGCCAUGCCGCGUGUGUGAAGAAGGCCCUCGGGUUGUAAAGCACUUUCAGCGAGGAAGAACGCCUAGCGGUUAAUACCCGCUAGGAAAGACAUCACUCGCAGAAGAAGCACCGGCUAACUCCGUGCCAGCAGCCGCGGUAAUACGGAGGGUGCAAGCGUUAAUCGGAAUUACUGGGCGUAAAGCGCGCGUAGGUGGCUUGAUAAGCCGGUUGUGAAAGCCCCGGGCUCAACCUGGGAACGGCAUCCGGAACUGUCAAGCUAGAGUGCAGGAGAGGAAGGUAGAAUUCCCGGUGUAGCGGUGAAAUGCGUAGAGAUCGGGAGGAAUACCAGUGGCGAAGGCGGCCUUCUGGACUGACACUGACACUGAGGUGCGAAAGCGUGGGGUAGCAAACAGGAUUAGAUACCCUGGUAGUCCACGCCGUAAACGAUGUCGACCAGCCGUUGGGUGCCUAGCGCACUUUGUGGCG
rnacentral:rRNA from 1 species